UCAGCUGGGGUUCCCGAAUGUCUGAAAAUGGCUAUUGAUUAAUCUAUUAGAAUAGUUGCCGAGAGAAAUAAAAACGACGUAAAAUAACAGGGAACCUAUAAAUAAAGAAGCCAUAACUGGCUGCUUGGAGUUGUUAAACGACUUAGCAUAUGAAAAAGUCGGAAAUGAGGCGCUGAGGAAGGAGCCGGGAUUUGGCAGCGGCCUGGACGUAGACAAACCCUCCAAGAUUUAACUUCCGCGGAAACCAGCGGCAGAGCCAGUGCAGGAGGAGGCGAGGAUGUGUGGCCAAUACACAAGGAGUUUCCUUGACAAGGAAAGUCACUGAUGGCCAUCUAGUUACAAGCCGCAAGCGCCGGCCGGGUGUGGCGGGCACAUGGAACCCAAGCUCAGCCUGUACACUGAGGCCUGGGAGGGGAGCGCCGGCCUCACCAGAGGAAGGAGCAUCAGGGGAGAAGGUCCGAGAGGAAGUAAUCAGUGAAAUAUUUACAGAAGACGAUGGGAAACUGAUUUAAUUCCUGGUGGACACGGGUGCUUCUGAUUUCCUCAGUCUGUGUCUCCCCACCCACGAUCCCUCUUUCCCUGGCUUAGAUACACCA